GAAGCUUCCUUUAAUUACAGUCCUUUCUUGGUGCAGGAUUUAUAUUUACAAGGAACUAGUAAUAAGCGUGCGUAUGUCGCCCCGUGGUACAACGCUACAACCGUGAGCUGUCAGAUAUGAGUGUUUUCCUGGAGAGAGUUUCCUGCGUUCUCUUUUUAGGACUUCUGUUACGAUCAUACCUGCCCCAGGGUACAUCAACGAAGUAUACACUGGAUAUGGCCACAUCUUUGAAAGAUACAUGUAUAAGAAAUUGGCCUAACCUCGCCCUGAAGAAACCAUCACGGAUCUCCUCACUGUGGAAGCGUAAACACGUAGCGGGCCUGGCGAACGAUGGCAAUACGAAUGGGAACCUCCGAUUCUGCGCCUGCACAGCCGAAUAUCAGUACAAGGACAACUGGUGGACUGUCGAUCUUGGUGCCACCUACUGGGUGGUGGCGAUAGAACUUUGGAACAGAGCAAAUUCC